UGCAUCCCGUAUGAACGCCCUGUCCCAAGCUUCUUCCGCACAAUUUGAACAGUUGAAAGGAGUCAAAUGGCAUUGACAAGGAUUGAAGGGAUGGGUGAGAUACUUCUUCCAUGCCUCAGUAUCUGGAAUUGUUUAGAUAUCUACCGAGAUAUGUGAACGUGCUUCUUGCGAGGUAAGGCUGCUGGUUGCCCUCCUUCCCUGACCCAAAACUUGAGCAUCUUGACAAGGGCUUAUUUUAGCCUUAUGUAGAGCUUAAUACCCGAGAACAACCUCAAAUUGCUCCGGGAUUGCUCUGACAAAUCUAUAAUUCUCCGUGCAAGUGGCAGUUACCCUCCGAUAAAGGCUCCGCUAUUAAAUCUACAUUGUUAUGAUAUUUGGGGGGAUGGAUAUUUACACCCAUCCAAGAAUUGACUAAUUUUACAUACAAAACAACUCGUGUUCAAAUGUAGUUCUAGAAGUCAAGAAGAAUUUACACAUCUAUUCAAUAUCUAUCUAACUAGCGAAUGUUAAAUG
rnacentral:sRNA from 1 species